GGGCGUAAAGGGCGCGUAGGCGGUGAUGUGAGUGUGAUGUGAAACCCCCGGGCUUAACCUGGGAAGUGCAUCGCAAACGACAUGACUGGAGUAGAUGAGAGGGUGGCGGAAUUUCCGGUGUAGCGGUGAAAUGCGUAGAGAUCGGAAGGAACGUCAAUGGCGAAGGCAGCCACCUGGCAUCAUACUGACGCUGAGGCGCGAAAGCGUGGGGAGCGAACAGGAUUAGAUACCCUGGUAGUCCACGCUGUAAACGAUGAGAACUAAAUGUUGGAGGGGGAGCCCUUCAGUAUUGAAGCUAACGCGAUAAGUUCUCCGCCUGGGAAGUACAGUCGCAAGACUGAAACUCAAAAGAAUUGACGGGGACCCGCACAAGCGGUGGAUGAUGUGGAUUAAUUCGAUGCAACGCGAAAAACCUUACCUACCCUUGACAUGUCAGGAAGUCUGCUGAGAGGUGGAUGUGCUCGAAAGAGAACCUGAACACAGGUGCUGCAUGGCUGUCGUCAGCUCGUGUCGUGAGAUGUUGGGUUAAGUCCCGCAACGAGCGCAACCCUUGUCAUUAAUUGCCAUCAUUCAGUUGGGCACUUUAAUGAGACUGCCGGUGACAAACCGGAGGAAGGUGGGGAUGACGUCAAGUCCUCAUGGCCCUUAUGGGUAGGGCUUUACACGUCAUACAAUGGUCGGUACAGAGGGUCGCCAACCCGCGAGGGGGAGCCAAUCCCACAAAGCCGAUCGUAGUCCGGAUCGCAGUCUGCAACUCGACUGCGUGAAGUCGGAAUCGCUAGUAAU
rnacentral:rRNA from 1 species